AGGAUGAACGCUGGCGGCGUGCCUAAUACAUGCAAGUCGAGCGGUAAGGCUACUUCGGUAGUACACGAGCGGCGGACGGCUGAGUAACACGUAGGAACGUACCCCAAAGUGAGGCAUAAGCACCAGAAAUGGUGUCUAAUACCGCAUGUGAUCUUCGGAUUAAAGCUUCGGCGCUUUGGGAACGGCCUGCGCAUGAUUAGCUUGUUGGUGAGGUAAUAGCUCACCAAGGCGACGAUCAUUAGCUGGUCUGAGAGGAUGACCAGCCAGACUGGGACUGAGAACGGCCCAGACUCCUACGGGAGGCAGCAGUAGGGAAUUUUCCACAAUGGGCGAAAGCCUGAUGGAGCAACGCCGCGUGCAGGAUGAAGGCUCUCGGGUCGUAAACUGUCUUUUAUAUGUGAAGAUUAUGACGGUAGCAUAUGAAUAAGGAUCGGCUAACUCCGUGCCAGCAGCCGC
rnacentral:rRNA from 1 species